rnacentral:rRNA from 1 species
UACAGAGGCCUCGAGCGUUAGGCGGAAUCACUGGGCUUAAAGCGUGUGUAGGCGGAUGCCUAAGUACCUUGUGAAAUCCCACGGCUCACCCGUGGAACGGCUGGGUAUACUGGGUGUCUUGAGCCACUUAGGGGCUGCCGGAACAAAUGGUGGAGCGGUGAAAUGCGUAGAUAUCAUUUGGAACGCCAAUGGUGAAAACAGGUCGCUGGGGCUGUGCUGACGCUGAGACACGAAAGCCAGGGGAGCAAACGGG